ACCGGGUCGCGGCGGCCGAGGCUCGGGCCUCCAGGACCACUGGCUGCCCAUGAGAGACGAAGGAUGGCAUCCAAGGGGGCCGGCGUGUCUUUCUCCCGCAAGAGCUGUAGGCUGACCUCAGAUGCUGAGAAAUCCAGGGUCACAGGGACCCGCUGCAGCUGGGAGGGGAGCUGUCCAGGAGGCCGGCCUGGGAAUGAGCACAGGCCUGCGGCUGGCAGAGAGCCGGGUCGAGCCAGCCCUGGAGAAGCAGGCCCAGCUGGAGGAGCAGCUGCGGGACAAGGUGCUCCACGAGAAGGACCUGUCCCAGCAGCAGAUGCAAAGCGACCUGGACAAGGCUGACCUCAGUGCCAGGAGGGUCCCUGGUGGGUGCUGCAUGAGGCAGGCGUCACUGCAGAAGAGUGACAGAGCUGGGCCUGGCAGUGAAGCGUCUACAGAAGCAGAAUCUGGAGAAGGAUCAGGUCGACAAGGACCUCACCGAGAAGCUUGAGGCCCUGGAAUCCCUGCGGCUACAGGAGCAGGCGGCCCUGGAGACAGAGGAUGGAGAGGGGCUACAGCGGAGCCUAAGGGACCUGGCACAGGCCGUCCUGUCUGACGCUGAGAGCGGCAGCCUGCGUCCAACAGCGUCCGACCGCAGCCUGCGGGGGCUCUCGGGCCAGCGGACCCCGUCUCCACCGCGGCGCUCCUCGCCGGGCCGAGGCCGUUCGCCCCGCAGAGGCCCCUCCCCGGCCUGCUCAGAAGACUCCACGCUCGCUUGCCCUGAUUCUCUCCGCCCUGCACUUUUGCCAGCUGAAGGUCCAGGGAGAAGAGCAACCUGGUCCACAGCCUGCAGGUGGCCCAGCAGCAGGCCGAGGAGCUGCCGCAGGAGCGGGAGAAGCUGCAGGUUGCCCAGGAGGAGCUGCAGCGCCAGCGGGACCGGCUGGAGGAAGAGCAGGAAGAGGCGGUGCAGAAUGGCGCACGGGUUCGCCGGGAGCUUGAGCGCAGCCAUAGACAACUAGAGCAGCUGGAAGGGAAGCGCUCAGUCCUGGCCAAGGAGCUGGUGGAGGUGAGGGAGGCGCUGAGCCGCGCCACGCUGCAACGGGACAUGCUGCAGGCCGAGAAGACCGAGGUGGCCGAGGCGCUGACCAAGGGUGAGGCUGGCCGCAUGGAGCUCGAGCUCUCCGUGACCAAGCUGAGGGCAGAGGAGGCCUCCCUGCAGGACUCCCUGUCCAAGCUGAGCGCCCUCAACGAGAGCCUUGCUCAGGACAAGUUGGAUCUGAACUGCCUUGUCACCCAGCUGGAGGAAGAAAAGGCCAUGCUGCAGGGCCGGCAGCGGCAGGCGGAGCAGGAGGCCACAGUGGCGCCGGCAGAGCAGGAGUGGCUGGAGGAGCUGUGGUUGGAGCAGGAGGUGGCACGGCAGGGCCUGGAGGGCUCCCUAUGAGUGGCGGAGCAGGCCCAGGAGGCGCUGGAGCAACAGCUCCCCACACUGCACCAUGAGCUCAGUUGGCUGCAGGAGCAGCUAGCACAGGUAGGCCAAACUGUGUGUGGGGUGGUCUGGAGAGCAUGUGGGGCAGGCCAGGCUCGCAGCCUCCUGCAUCCAGUCCUGGGUUAAGUCACAGGCACUGGAGCCUGCUUCUGGGUUAAAUCCAGUCCCACUUCUCCUAGCUGGGGACCUUGGACAAGCUGCCCAACCUCCCAUACCUCAGUUGCCCCAUUUAUAACAUGGGGCUAGCCGGGUGCAGUGGCUCACGCCUAUAAUCCCAGCAGUUGGGGAAGCCGAGGCGGGUGGAUCACCUGAGGUCCGGAGAUCAAGACCAUCCUGGCUAACACGGUGAAACCCUAUCUCUACAAAAAAUUAGCUGGGUGUGGUGGCACGCGCCUGUAGUCCCAGCUACUCAGGAGGCUGAGGCAGGAGAAUCGCUUGCCUCUGCCUCCGGGGUUUAAGCUGUUCGCCUGCCUCAGCGUCCCAAGUAGCAGGGACUACAGGCGUGCACCACCAUGCCCGGCUAAUUUUUGUAUUUUUAGUAGAGACAGGGUUUCACCACGUUGGCCAGGCUGGUCUUGAACUCUUGACCUCAAGUGAUCCACCUGCCAAAGUGCUGGGAUUAUAGGCGUGAGCCACCGUGUCCGGCCGGGCCCUGGUUUUUGUACACACGUGCAUUGCAGAUCUAGAGAAGGUCAUGACUUGCCCAAGUACAUAUAGCACAUCAGGGCAGACCCUGGGCUCGAACCCAGGCCUUCUGCCAGGACUGGGUUAGGCCCAGAGUUGGGGUACUGCACGAUGAACAAGCUGGGGGAUGCUGGGAGUGCUACUCAGUCUCUGGGUGGGAGCCAGCUCUCCUGGCAGCUGAGCAGGCGGGAGCAGGAGCUGGAGCAGGCCCGGUGGGAGGCCCAGUGACAGGUGGAGACGCUGGGGCAAGUGGCCCGGGAGAAGGAGGCGCUAGCCAAGGAGCACGCUGGCCUGGCUGUGCAGCUGGCGGCCUGCGGAGCGUGAAGGCAGGACCGUGUCAGAGGAGGCCACACACCUGCAGUAAGGCCUUGGGCUCUGCCCAACCCGCCCUGGGCGGUCCUCCUGGGGCCACGCCAUGAACAGCCUCACCCAGGCACGGGCCCCCAGGGGCAGUUACUAAGGAGUCUGGCUUGCCAACUCGUCCUAGCUGUGGGCUCAGGCUUCCCCAGGGAGUGUGGGCCUGGCCAGGCAGGUAGAUUGGCACUUGGCCCAUGCCUGGCCACUCCCUGAGAUCCACAGUUUCCUGGGGCCAGGGAGGCUGAGUCCCAGGGCCUCACGCACUGUAUGUGCUGCAGCUUGGAGAAGGAAGCCCUGGAGGGCAGCCUGUUUGAGGUGCAAUGGCAGCUGGCCCAGCUUGAGGCCCGCCGGGAGCAGCUGGAAGCCGAGGGGCAGGCCCUGCUGCUGGCCAAGGAGACCCUGACUGGUACGAGUGGCUGGGGACUUGGGGGGAACACCAGGUUCCAGCCCAGACUGCAACCUCCCAAUGUCUGUAGUCUCACAGAAGUUGGGAGCACUGGAGUAGGAGUCUGGCUGGCCUGGGUUCCAGUCCUGUGCCACCACUUAGAUCUCACCUUCCCUUGAGCAAGCCCCUUUCCUCUCUGGGCUGCAGAUUCCUCAGCUGAUGAUUGGAGGUGGCAAUGCCCACCUUCUAAGCCUGUUGCCAGGAUGACAUGGGAAAAGCGUGUAAGGCCGUGGCACGGUGCCUGGCUGAGUCAACAGUAACUGCUGUUCAUCGGUCAUCAGGCCUGUUAGUCUGAGUUCUCUGUGGUUUUCAGAUGACUCUCUUGGCCCCAGAAUCCGAGCCCCACUUCCCUGCACCGUUCCCCAUCGAAUCUCUGAACUCAGGGCUUCUUUCUGCUCAUCUAACAUUAACUAAGCACCUACUUGGGUCAUGGAAAUUAAUUUUCCUGUCCAUGUACACCUGAGCCAGACAGAACCAGGAAGGGAAAUGCUGGUGGGUUUCCAACCCGGGAGAUGGUUUUUAGAUGAUGGCUAUACCAUUUCCAUUCCCUGUAGUCGUUUCCAUUAAUGCUGAUAGUUAAUGCUUGACAGGUAUGUUCAUGUCAGUCAUUAAAGGAGAUGCUUUAUGUGUAGCUGUGCAGCUGUGGGAAGUUGCUGCUGAUCUCCUCUGAUCCUCCAUUUCAUCAUCUGUUAAACGGGGAUGAGGAUAAACUACAUAGGCAUGUUAUGAAGACAAAAUGAGGUUAUGUCUAAAAUACUUAGCUGGGUGCUUGACGCAUAGUAAGUGCUGAGUCAGUAAUAGGGUUUUUGUUUGUUUGUUUGUUUUUGUUUGUUUGUUUUGAGAUGGAGUUUCACUCUUGUUGCCCAGGCUGGAGUGCAAUGGCGCGAUUUUGGCUCACCUCAACCUCCGCCUCCCAGGUUCAAGCGAUUCUCCUGCCUCAGCCUUCCAAGUAGCUGGGAUUACAGGCACGCGCCACCAUGCCUGGCUAAUUUUGUAUUUUUAGUAGAGACGGGGUUUCACCAUGUUGGUCAAGCUGGUCUCGAACUCUCGACCUCAGGUGAUCUGCCCACUUCGGCCUCCCAAAGUGCUGGGAUUACAGGCAUGAGCCACCGCGCCCAGCCUGUUUGAUUUUUUGAGACAGAGUCUCACUCUUGUCGCCCAGGUUGGAGUGCAGUGGUGCGAUCUGAGCUCACUGCAACUUCUGCCUCUUGGGUUCAAGCGAUUCUCCUGCCUCAGCCUCCCAAGUAGCUAGGACUACAUACGUCCGCCACCAUGCCCAGCUAAUUGUUGUAUUUUUAGUAGAGACAGGGUUUCACCGUGUUGGCCAGGCUGGUCUUGAACUCCUUACCUAAGGUGAUCCACCUGCCCCAGCUUCCCAAAGUGCUGGGAUUACAGGAGUGAGCCAUGGCACCUGGCCUAGGGUUGUUAUAUGUUUGACAUCCGUCCCAUUUGGGAGGCCUUCUCAUCAGUCAUUUUAUGCCUUUAAUGCCAUUCUAGGUAGGCAGGAAAGGGGUCAGGGCCAGUGGGCCCAUGUAGCAGAUAGGGAAACUGAGGCCCAGAGAGGACAAGCCACUUCUUCAAGAGGACCCAAACUGGAUGCCAGGCAGGCCCUCUGCCUCUGGGAUUUUGCCCAUAUGGCUCAACUGGCCUAAGUCUGCUGGCCCAAGGAAAAAUUUCAACCCAACCCUGCCCUUUCCCCCAUUCCUCUCGUGCAGGGGAGUUGGCGGGCCUGCGGCAGCAAAUAAUAGCUACGCAGGAGAAAGCCAGUCUAGACAAGGAGCUGAUGGCCCAGAAGCUGGUGCAGGCUGAGCGGGAGGCCCAGGCCUCUCUGCGGGAGCAGUGGGCAGCCCAGGAGGAGGACUUACAGUGACUCCAGCGUGAAAAGGUUCAGGCAGCUGGGGAGGGGUGGGCAGAAGUCUGAGCCAGUGUUUCAUCAUCGUUCUUGCUCUGCCUCGGUCUGUACAUCUGUGAAAUGGGACUCCCUCUCUGUUGUGGAGGCCCUGGGGACAGCUGGGAGGACUGGAGGGGUGGUGGGGAGGUUGUGGUCCUUAUUAGACAUUCAGAUACCCAGGUCCCAAAUCUGGUCCAGCCCUGGUAAUCCUGAUGCAGAGGGUCCACAACCACAUUUGGGAAAUGUUGACCUAAUGCACAGCAGGAAAGCACUUUCAUUUGCUAAGAAGUUUCCAUAUGAAGGGCCACGCAGACCUGAGCAUGUAGAAAGGCAAGGGGCCAGGGAAGUUACUAGAACACUGACUCUGGGGUUAUAUUGCCUGGGUUUGAAUCUAAUCUUGGUCGCUUACUGGUGAUGCUACCCAAGGUGUCUGUGCCUUCAUUUCCCCACCUGUAGAAAUAGGGAUAGGAUAGUGGAAGGUAUUGAGGAUGAGCUGAGACCAUCUGCAUAGAGGGCUUAACAUAGUGACUGGUACUUAGCAAAUGCUCCAUGAGUUAUGAUUGCUGGCACUGGCAUGCUCUCCAGAGUGGCCCUCAGAACAGGGGCCCUCAGCCACCAAAUCCUAGACAGGGCUUCCUCUGACAGAGGUGCAGGCUAUGACUACAUGGCUCCAGGGCAUGCCACUCACCCUGCAGUCCCCAUGGCCUUGGGUGGUGGUUAUCACGCUUCUCCAUCAGGGGGCGGUAAAGCUCUUUCCGAAAGUGCUGGGAUUCCAGGCAUGAGCUAUGGUGAAGCUCUUAAAGAAGGGGUGGCUUGGCCGGGCGUGCUGACUCAUGCCUGUAAUCCCAGCACUUUGGGAGGCUGAGGUGGGCGGAUCACGAGGUCAGGAGAUCGAGACCAUCCUAGCUAACACAGUGAAACCCUAUCUCUCCUAAAAUCACAAAAAAUUAGCUGGGCAUGGUGGCACGCGCCUGUAGUCCCAGAUACUUGGGAGGGUAAGGCAGAAGAAUCGCUUCAACCUGGGAGGCAGAGGUUGCAGUGAGCCAAAAUCACGCCACUGCACUCCAGCCUGGGUGACAGAGCGAGACUCUGUCU
rnacentral:lncRNA from 1 species